AGUUUGAUCCUGGCUCAGGACGAACGCUGGCGGCGUGCUUAACACAUGCAAGUCGAACGGAAAGGCCCUGCUUUUGUGGGGUGCUCGAGUGGCGAACGGGUGAGUAACACGUGAGUAACCUGCCCUUGACUUUGGGAUAACUUCAGGAAACUGGGGCUAAUACCGGAUAGGAGCUCCUGCUGCAUGGUGGGGGUUGGAAAGUUUCGGCGGUUGGGGAUGGACUCGCGGCUUAUCAGCUUGUUGGUGGGGUAGUGGCUUACCAAGGCUUUGACGGGUAGCCGGCCUGAGAGGGUGACCGGCCACAUUGGGACUGAGAUACGGCCCAGACUCCUACGGGAGGCAGCAGUGGGGAAUAUUGCACAAUGGGCGGAAGCCUGAUGCAGCAACGCCGCGUGCGGGAUGACGGCCUUCGGGUUGUAAACCGCUUUCGCCUGUGACGAAGCGUGAGUGACGGUAAUGGGUAAAGAAGCACCGGCUAACUACGUGCCAGCAGCCGCGGUGAUACGUAGGGUGCGAGCGUUGUCCGGAUUUAUUGGGCGUAAAGGGCUCGUAGGUGGUUGAUCGCGUCGGAAGUGUAAUCUUGGGGCUUAACCCUGAGCGUGCUUUCGAUACGGGUUGACUUGAGGAAGGUAGGGGAGAAUGGAAUUCCUGGUGGAGCGGUGGAAUGCGCAGAUAUCAGGAGGAACACCAGUGGCGAAGGCGGUUCUCUGGGCCUUUCCUGACGCUGAGGAGCGAAAGCGUGGGGAGCGAACAGGCUUAGAUACCCUGGUAGUCCACGCUGUAAACGGUGGGUACUAGGUGUGGGGUCCAUUCCACGGGUUCCGUGCCGUAGCUAACGCUUUAAGUACCCCGCCUGGGGAGUACGGCCGCAAGGCUAAAACUCAAAGGAAUUGACGGGGCCCCGCACAAGCGGCGGAGCAUGCGGAUUAAUUCGAUGCAACGCGUAGAACCUUACCUGGGUUUGACAUGGAUCGGGAGUGCUCAGAGAUGGGUGUGCCUCUUUUGGGGUCGGUUCACAGGUGGUGCAUGCCUGUCGUCAGCUCGUGUCGUGAGAUGUUGGGUUAAGUCCCGCAACGAGCGCAACCCUUGUUCACUGUUGCCAGCACGUUAUGGUGGGGACUCAGUGGAGACCGCCGGGGUCAACUCGGAGGAAGGUGGGGAUGACGUCAAGUCAUCAUGCCCCUUAUGUCCAGGGCUUCACGCAUGCUACAAUGGCUGGUACAGAGAGUGGCGAGCCUGUGAGGGUGAGCGAAUCUCGGAAAGCCGGUCUCAGUUCGGAUUGGGGUCUGCAACUCGACCUCAUGAAGUCGGAGUCGCUAGUAAUCGCAGAUCAGCAACGCUGCGGUGAAUACGUUCCCGGGGCUUGUACACACCGCCCGUCAAGUCAUGAAAGUUGGUAACACCCGAAGCCGGUGGCCUAACCGUUGUGGGGGAGCCGUCGAAGGUGGGACUGGUGAUUAGGACUAAGUCGUAACAAGGUAACC
rnacentral:rRNA from 2 species